rnacentral:rRNA from 1 species
UACGGACCGGACGAACGUUAUUCGGAAUCACUGGGCUUAAAGCGUGCGUAGGCGGCCUGGAAAGUUGGGUGUGAAAUCCCUCGGCUCAACCGAGGAAUGGCGCUCAAAACUCCCAGGCUUGAGUGAGAUAGGGGUGAGCGGAACUGAUGGUGGAGCGGUGAAAUGCGUUGAUAUCAUCAGGAACACCGGUGGCGAAGGCGGCUCACUGGGUCUUGUCUGACGCUGAGGCACGAAAGCUAGGGUAGCGAACGGGAUUAGAAACCCCUGUAGU